UUGUCUUACAGACAUCAAUAUUUCUAUUAAAACCAGCACCUAACCUGUUUUCCACACAGGUAAGGGAUUUUCCCAUUGAUAUGAUCACACUCUGUCCUCCACCUACUAUAACAAACAAUGACAUUUACAACCUGAGACACUGUGAAAGAAAGAUAUCGAAAGAUAGAGCAUGCUUUACUGUGAGAUUUAUACAGCACACGCAAAGAUAAGCCGUGAUUGUUUUAUCAACUUUACAGUGUUGUAAAAUAGAAAGUCAGCUUCACAUUGUGAGCUGCAGACGCAGUUUUUAAGAACAUAUUGCUAGUGAGAAGUGUUGUAUUUGAGAAAUGCGCUGUUCAUCAGGUUAAUAAACCUCAUCACUGAUGACAUGUAUGAAUGCAGUAAUAUAAUAAGUGAAAUCAUAGCUGUGACUGGCAGGAUGAUAGUAGCUCAAGGACUGAUUUUUAAAAAACGAAAAAAACUGGGCAGAGGACUGGCCAAGCAAACAAACCAUUCUGUAUUAACACAUUUAACACUUUUAACUUCACUUGAGUAAUAAACUGACAAAGCAAUGGAUUCAUAUUUCGUGCUGUCUCGCAGUGACAAAAGAUAAAGAGAGCUGCGAUGUACUAGAAACUUUAUCUGCUUCUACAGGUUACCUGAGACAUUUAGAUUUAGUUCAGAUUAGUCUGCUCACUCAAUAGGAAUAUGAUGGUACACAAAUCUUGCAGUGCAUGCAUUUGAAAGUUUGCAAUCAAGCUUGCGUGAAAGGAACACUCCCUCCAUAGCGACAGACCGCACCCACAGCUAAAUGAAAACCUGUCCAACUGCACAUCAACACUGUUAAUGAGCAACCAGGAUUGCAGCUUUUUAUUUUCUGUCCCCUGGCUUUCCUUUAACUUUGUUGACUCAGCCUUGUCAAAAUCAAAUAAAUGACUUUAUAACUGUAAUGCUUUUCCACCUGCUCUUAUUGCCCAUAAAGCAAACGUACAUGUAUGUGCAUGUAUAUAUCUGUCUUUGUAUGCGCAUAACAGUGUGAAAGUUUGCGUGUGUUGUAAUGUCUGUCACUCUGAGGCUGAGUAUGUGUUUAAGGAAGAAUGUGGAAGAGGUGGAAACUGAUGUUGGCUGGAGGCGGGACAAAAGUGUCACACCAAAGUGAAACAGGCUUUGCACUUUUCAGAGUCACCUGGGAGAAACAGACAACAUGACCUGCAUCAACUUUACAGAGUUCCUGCUUUUCCUUCUCCUCCUCCUUCAUGAGGUCUACAGUGACAACCCAGAACCUGCUGUCAGGGCAGAGCGCGAAGUUAUUGAGAUGGGAUACUGUUUCGGAAUGGAUUAUAUUGUUGUUUAUAGAUCUGCUUCAGAGGGAGACCAACUACUUGGCAACUCUUCAAACAAGAACAUGCCCAACACACCACCUGCAGACCUACAGGGUCGUACCCACAUCAGUGACGAUCCCAACCUGCUCGGGUUUCAAAUCAGUAACCUCACUCACUUGGACUCUGGGAUUUAUAGGAGGGAAUGUUGGAAGAACCAGACGAUAAUCAACCAGAAGACACAGCAGCUCACUGUGUGUAAGGAGCAGAUUGAAUCUGAAGACAUAAUUGUAAGUAAAGACGGUAAAGGGACUGAGAUCUUGUGCAAUAACAGUGCUAUUGGCUCUGAGGGAACAUCUGUACGCUGGUACCAUGAAAUGUAUCCGUCUUAUGAGCCCACACUCUUCCUGGAUAGCAGUGUUUCGCUGAAGCCUCUGGUGAAGGAGCUUGCAGGUGUGGUAGAUGUAAGAGACAACGGUGCAUUGCUCGUGUUCAACAACAUGUUACAGAAAACCACACACUUUAAGUGUGUUGUGAUGAAAGGUAUCAGCUGUCUUAGUUUCCAAACCAUGCACCCACCAGAUGAGAGUGAAAGCAAGGACGUUUUUGUCUCACUGGGGGACAGAGUGCUUCUAAAUUGUUCUAUUGAUGAGGGUGUCCAGGUGUGGGAAACUCCACUGGGAAGAAUUGAUGGUAACACGAGGGGCAGUCCAAUGUACAUAUCAGCUGAUGACUUCUCACUGGUUAUACCUGCCAUCUUUGCAGACUACACUGGAGACUAUUCAUGCAUCUCCCCCUCACGUGAGAUGCAUUAUGCAUUGUUUCUUUGCCCCAAAAACAAACUCCAAGAAAAAGUUGCUGAUGAAGGUGAAAAUGUCUCCCUGAUGUGUGAUUGUGGCCAAGAUGUUUCAGGUAUAGUGCAGUGGCACCGCUAUGGACUUACAGGGCACUAUGAGAUCAUCCACGACUCACAGGACAAAACUGUUCCCAUCCCUAAAGAUCUACGAGGCAGAGUGACUCUAUCUGAGGAUGGGACUUUGCUGACCAUCAACGACCUGAAGGUGUCAGAUGGAGGGAAGUACUUGUGUGCUGUUGUUAAAACCCUGGAUUUCGCAGGGAAUUAUACGGAUUAUGAUACAGAAUAUGAUGACAAAGGUACUGAAGAAGAUGAAAUGGACAACGAGUGGACAGAGUCUCUGGAAUGUAUUUUUAAACAGGAGAUCACUUUGAAUUUACCCAGCAGUCCUCCACCACCGCAUAUGCCGUAUGUUGUGGUGGCAGUAGUGGUGCUGCUGCUGGUGGUAGCUGUAGUGAUUGUCACAAUAGUGGUGGUGAAGAAGAGGUCAAAGAGAAAACCAGCAAAAGCAGACAUAAAGAUGGAUACAUAUCCUAGCUGUUCUGAAAGGUUAACUGCAUCUGAUUAAUGUUGCUCAGCUUUUGUAAAAUAGCUGCAAGACAUUUUAAUAUCCACCUGAUGCACACUGUGCUGUAAAAUCUGUACAAAUGUGUAACUAUUUUCACCAGUUGAUUAUUAUGAAAAAGUAGUAUUUAUGCUUUCAGUUUGCCUUUAUGUUAUUUUCUCCUUCCUUGUCAGUCGCUGAUGACUAUAGAUUUGUUAAAAUAAAAUAUAAUUUCAACAUCCUGUUUUUACUUAAGACUGAAAACGUGGAAAAAUAAGAGAUUUUUCCUUUUACUUUAUGUUUAGUGUACAGAACAAGCAGCCAGUGACGUGCAAAAGGAUCAUAGCUAUCAUGUUUUCAAUUUAUCUGAUGGUGCAAAAAAUGUUGCAUGGCUCUAAUGCAACAUUAAAUGAUGACUAAAAACCAGUUGGGCUACUCUGCUGUCAACAGAUUGUUUGUUGCCUAUCACAGGAGGAGCAGCAGUCAGAAAGUCCCUGUAAGCUUCAAUGUCAAAGGCUUCAGAGAAGUAAAUAUUUUUCUCUUUUGGGUGCUUCCAUUUUCACUGUGCUGCACAUAAUGAAUGUCAUUACAGUUAAUGCUAACACGUUCACACCACAAGUCAGUGGUUAAUAGUUUAACUAAUUGCAUUUUCAUAUGCGCGCAAACAGUGGCAAGAAAUACCUCAACAAUCAUUUGAAGUCUGAUAAUCGUGAGUUCAAUAUCCAUUCUCCUUUCUGCUCAGUUCUGUUCUUCAUGAAAUCCUGAGGGAAAUAUCUGGCUCUUUAGCAGCUAAAUGCUGUUUGGUUUGUUGUUUGGUGUUGAACAGAUAGUGUACAGUGGGCUUGUAGGGCUUUUUUUUUUUUUCUCUUACUGGAAACAGCUGCUGCUGGAAAACAGAUUAAUGAAAGAAAUGAGAAUGGACCAAAACAUUAAAGCUGCAGGCUGUGAAAUCAGUUAAUGACUUACAACAUGCUAGCAGAGUCCAGUAAUGAUUCCCAGGGAGACAAUCACCUUCCAUCAUCUGUAACUAAACAUAUGAUGUAUUGUUAUUAUAUAUGAAACCAGAGCAAUAUAUUGUUGUUGUUUUUUAACCAUGAAAAUUUGUUACAAAAUUAUUCCUCAAAAUAUCCAGAUGGAUUAGAUGAUACAUCUGCGUUUGCAUAUCUCACAUGUGUGUAUGCAAAUUCUGCUGCUGUUGUAAAACUUAUUGAAUACAAUUACAUAUGCAAUAUUCAGUCAAUGUCAUCUGUAGCUCCUGAACAAGUUUAGCAGUAUACUGCUGCAGUGUGUACAUCAGUAUUGAUCCGAUAUUGCAGUUUAUUGUUUGGGAAACACAAAAUAAGACACAAUGUAUAAAGUGAUUAUAAACUGCAUGUUAUUGACUAGCUGACUGUGUUUAUAUUGAUUAAACUGUGCAUUUUAUUAAACGUGAUAUUAUACUGAGGAAGUUUAUGUUUUAAGAAAAUAUGAGGUGCUGCUGCAGUGGCACAGUUCCUUGCUCACAAAACUGAGUCUCUUUAUUUUCAAGCUCACAUGUAUUUGAAUAAAUAUUUUCAAAACAGGACGUAGAAACUUGUUCAUUAUGGUUAUCAUGUUACCUGCUGAUGAUUUGUUCAUCCAGAAGAACUUCCACAAAGAGAGUACAAAUGCUGGUCUCUUUCUUGCAGUCAUACUGGACUUUGAUCAUCUACUCAAUCAAUACCAUGUUGAGAAUUAAUAUGCAGCAGUUGGCACACAAUAAGCCCUGAGCUUCUCCACAGCAAGGCCGCUGAAACACUCCUGAUCUCCCUCGGGUUCUCGGUAACGCUGGGUCCUGGUUAGACAUUAAUAAUGCAUAAGUCCCUCUGCCCUAGGCUCGCUAUUGUCAAACUCGGGGAAACCAACCUACGUGUGUAUGAUUAGAAAUCAUCAUAAAAGUGAAAAAUAUAUAAUAAUAUUUUUAUUAUAUCAGUAAAACACUUACAGACGUGCUCACGACCUGCCGCAUACAAAGUAAACUUGCACAUCUGCUGUGUGUUUCAUUUAUGGCUGCAUCAAUGAAUUUGGCCAUAAGGUUUUCAUUGAUUGAUCUCAGAACAAUGAAUCUUAUCUGUGCUGUAAAGUGAGGCAAGGUUAUAACAUUAUUUUAAAGGGUGCUUCUCCACUAAUAUGCUGUCGAUAAGUCUCAGUGGCUAAAAUAAUGGUCAACAGUAUUAACUGUUUCACCAGUAAAAGAAAACAUUACUGGUCUUACACGUGUAAAAUCAAUCACUUAUCCUGUCUUGUGCUUUAUUUAGUGAAGGAGAAAAUCAAGCUUUUACUAUAAAUUAUAAAUAUGAAGGUAGAGCUAGCGGCUCAUUUGUACACUCCCUGAAAACCACAAAGUGUAGAGUGCACACAUACGCUUUCAAACAGCUCAAACAAAUGAGAUAAAACAUGUACCUAUUUUGGUUGCUCCUCUGCUUUGAUUCUUUACACCACAGUUGAUUAACUCAUGGGUGUGGCACCCACCUCCUCAUUCAGGUUUAGGCACAAAAAAAAAAGCAGUGUCAGCUACAAAGGGAAAUUUUGCUCAAGUGCCUUAUCUGUUGUGAUAUUUGAAUCAUUUCCUCCUAUCAGUGCAGUGCAGCAUUACUUUAAGCUUGCAAGGGUCAAAGUACAAAGCACCCUCGGAUGACUAAAAUCAAAUCUGGGACAGCACAGCAACCUCCAGUAUCACAGACUGCAUAUGAAACCCAUGGGGAUUUCAAUUUUGGCUGCCAAUAUGUCGGGAUAUUUGGAACCAGAAGGACCUACUGCAUACAGGUCCUGCUGGUUCAGUUAAUGCUUGUGUGGGUGUAAUUUUAAUGUUUUAUUCUCUGUGUUGUAUUAGUUUGGUUUCAUAUUUGCAUGUUGUUGUUUUGUUGCAUGCUUUUAUUUUGAAAAGUUGUUACUUUCUACCCUCAUCUUCCUAAUCAAGGAAAUUAUUAACGCCUGCUCAGCCUCCCUGCUUAGAGGAGGGAAGCUCAGGACAGUUAAGGUCAGGCAACAAAAGAGUCAUGGCGCAGGAACCCAGCAGAGCAACAGGAAGAAACAAGAUGGAGUUUACAUUUGGAUUUCAAGGAAGACGUGAUACCUACUGUACUGACUUUCACUCACCAAAGCUGGAGCAUAGACUUCCAGGACUGGCUUUUUGUAUAGCCCAACAGUAACCCAGUCUCGCCCUCAAGUGAACUCUGCGGGUGAGAAAAUCAUAUCACCACCUCCCAUGCCGGCAUAAAAUACUGAGGACAAGAUGAGCAAUGUCUGCUGGAAGGAGGAAAAGAAGAGCUAUUUGCAGAGAAAUGUGGUGCAAAAAGUGCAAAAUGCAAAAACAAUGAGAGGCAUGAGGUAGAAGGUGUUACAUCUUUGCCAGUUUGCUUUACAUACACCCCUUCAUAGGCUUGACUGAUGGAGAUGCAGAUGUGACAGAGGAGCAGCUGUUCUGUGCUCUCAGGUGUAAUUAAGAAAAGGCUCGGUCACACAGAAAGACCCUCGAGGCCCAACAGAGCGCAGAGGAUUCAGCACGCCUCAGAGAGCAGCAAGAUCCAGCAGUAGGCUUCCUUCAGCUUGUUACAGUGUGAGACUUUAAAUGGAUCAGCUUAAUUGCAGAGGCAUCUCUCAGACCAUCUGUGUGUGUAGGAGGGCGUGUUUGAGCUGCUAGUGCAAGUCUGUCUCAGACCGUGCUGUCUGUGUGUUUGAGUUGAAGCAAACUGAGCCAUCGCGGUGACAGAGCAGAACUAAAGUUAGAAAAAUAAUCAAUGAAACCAGCCAGGAAAUUGUGUUUAGAAAAGUUGUUACUCUGAGUGUGUUCACUUGGGCUCGUUCAACUUCUGCAGCACAACAAGACGUGUGACCCGACUCUCGAUUUGAAGAUUAUCUAAAGUUUUCUCUGUCUUGUAAGCACACAUGCGCGCACACACCAAUGCAGCAAUCAAAACCACAGCCGGUCGAAGUUAGCAUGAUCCCUCCACACUCCCAGGCCAGCUUUUUCUCUCCGAUCAGGAACCCAUGUUCAGUGGAAUCAGCAUGUCUGCUCAAUGUUCCCUGGUGGCUGCCAGGCUGAGCCUGCUGAGGCCCGAUCUGCUGUAAUUUGCCAGGCCCAUUACUCCCACAAAUGUGAUGGCUGCGAGCCCUGUGAGUGUGAAACAGUUGGUGGGAUAAAGAGAGAGAGAGAGAGCAAGGUACCUCGCUAUUGCUGCUGUCUAGCCACAGUGUCUGAGAGCGUGCAAUGCUUUGUGCUAAUGGCACCAAUUAUGCACCAGAGAGCA